rnacentral:rRNA from 1 species
UAGGGAAUCUUCGGCAAUGGACGAAAGUCUGACCGAGCAACGCCGCGUGAGUGAAGAAGGUUUUCGGAUCGUAAAACUCUGUUGUUAGAGAAGAACAAGGACGUUAGUAACUGAACGUCCCCUGACGGUAUCUAACCAGAAAGCCACGGCUAACUACGUGCCAGCAGCCGCGGUAAUACGUAGGUGGCAAGCUUUGUCCGGAUUUAUUGGGCGUAAAGCGAGCGCAGGCGGUUUCUUAAGUCUGAUGUGAAAGCCCCCGGCUCAACCGGGGAGGGUCAUUGGAAACUGGGAGACUUGAGUGCAGAAGAGGAGAGUGGAAUUCCAUGUGUAGCGGUGAAAUGCGUAGAUAUAUGGAGGAACACCAGUGGCGAAGGCGGCUCUCUGGUCUGUAACUGACGCUGAGGCUCGAAAGCGUGGGGAGCAAACAGG